CUGUGCCUCACUGCCUUCUUCCCGCAGCAUAAAAGUAAGUUGCUGCAAGAGGACACUAGGACCGAGGCAACUGGAGGGUCCCUAUUGCGAACAGCACUGAAAUCUGUGGAGUCCUAAAGAGAUGCUGAGCCUAUUUUAUGAUUUAGGAAAUGCAGUUUUACAUGAAUUGUCGGGCUAUAAUGCCGAGCAAAAUAUGAAAGAUCGUUUGAAAGCUCAUUAUAAGAACUCAGAGGAGCUGAAAGAACUAAAACAAGUCAAGGAGAAGGAGAAAGUGAUUACCAGUUUACAAGCCCAACUUCACCAGGCACAGUCAGAACAAGCCGUGAAGUUGGGUAAGAAUUCGGUUGGGA